rnacentral:rRNA from 1 species
AUACGUAGGUGGCAAGCGUUGUCCGGAAUUAUUGGGCGUAAAGCGCGCGCGGGCGGCUUCUUAAGUCUGAUGUGAAAUUCUGCAGCUCAACUGCAGGCGGGCAUUGGAAACUGGGGAGCUUGAGUACAGAAGAGGAGAGUAGAAUUCCACGUGUAGCGGUGAAAUGCGUAGAGAUGUGGAGGAAUACCAGUGGCGAAGGCGGCUCUCUGGUCUGUUACUGACGCUGAGGUGCGAAAGCGUGGGGAGCGAACAGGAUUAGAUACCCUGGUAGUCCACGCCGUAAACGAUGAAUGCCAGGUGUUAGGGAGGUCCAACCCCUUAGUGCUGAAGUUAACACAUUAAGCAUUCCGCCUGGGGAAUACGACCGCAAGGUUGAA